rnacentral:rRNA from 1 species
GUCCACGCCGUAAACGAUGGAUACUAGCUGUUGGGCAACUUCAGUGGCUAAGCGAAGUGAUAAGUAUCCCACCUGGGAGUACGUUCGCAAGAAUGAAACUCAAAGUAAUUGACGGGGCCCGCACAAGCGGUGGAGCAUGUGGUUUAAUUCGAUGAUACGCGAGGAACCUUACCAAGGCUUAAAUGUAGAUUGACCGAUUUGGAAACAGAUCUUUCGCAAGACAAUUUACAAGGUGCUGCAUGGUUGUCGU